GACGAACGCUGGCGGCGUGCUUAACACAUGCAAGUCGAACGGUGAAGCUCCAGCUUGCUGGAGUGGAUCAGUGGCGAAAGGGUGAGUAACACGUGAGCAACCUGCCCCUGACUCUGGAAUAAGCGCUGGAAACGGCGUCUAAUACUGGAUACGAGAAGGGUCCGCAGGGGCACUUUCUGGAAAGUUUUUCGGUUGGGGAUGGGCUCGCGGCCUAUCAGCUUGUUGGUGAGGUAAUGGCUCACCAAGGCGACGACGGGUAGCCGGCCUGAGAGGGCGACCGGCCACACUGGGACUGAGACACGGCCCAGACUCCUACGGGAGGCAGCAGUGGGGAAUAUUGCACAAUGGGCGAAAGCCUGAUGCAGCGACGCCGCGUGAGGGAUGACGGCCUUCGGGUUGUAAACCUCUUUCAGCAGGGAAGAAGCGAAAGUGACGGUACCUGCAGAAGAAGCACCGGCUAACUACGUG
rnacentral:rRNA from 1 species